UACGUAGGGUGCGAGCGUUGUCCGGAUUUAUUGGGCGUAAAGAGCUCGUAGGCGGCUUGUCGCGUCGUCCGUGAAAACCCACAGCUCAACUGUGGGCUUGCGGUCGAUACGGGCAGGCUAGAGUUCGGUAGGGGAGACUGGAAUUCCUGGUGUAGCGGUGAAAUGCGCAGAUAUCAGGAGGAACACCGGUGGCGAAGGCGGGUCUCUGGGCCGAUACUGACGCUGAGGAGCGAAAGCGUGGGGAGCGAACAGG
rnacentral:rRNA from 1 species